GCCGAAAUUUUUGAAUCUUUUUAAGAAUUUAGGUAAUAUUUGUUUAAAUUCAACUAAAUUUUAUUCAAAAUUUUGGAAAUUUCGGAUCGAAAUUUCUGAAAUUUCGGGAUUUCGGUGACCCCUGAUCAAAAGCCCUAAACCUAUACAGUGAACCCUCCUGGUACGUAUCGGAUACCUGAUUAUUUAGACCGGCGUAAUCAAAAUCGAAAGAAGAGCUUCGGUUCUUGGUGGUGGAGGAUGGCUUCGUCGUCGUUGCUCCUCCGAUCCGCCGCCCGCGAGCUCCGGCGGCGGCGGUCGAUAUUCCGUCCACCGCGCUUGGCCGCCCCUCCGGUGGAGCCCGGCUCGCGUCUCCUCACCACCGAUGGCGCCGCGAAGAACACCACACCGCCCUCCUCCUCCACUCCCAAUGCGACCCAGUUCCAGUUGCUUCGUCUGGAGGAUGCCUUGGCCUUGCGCUCCGAAAACUACAGGUCUGCAGGGAUGAAGUAAUAGCAUACAAAAGGUAUUUGCUCAAGAAGAAGAAGGAAAGUGACCUGGACUACUUGUUGACUUUGGACCAGUUCAGUGAUACCAUGGAAGAAUGGUCCUCUAUUCUUCGACAAACCAAAGAGGUAUUUGAGGCUAAAAAUAAAGAGUCUGCCGAAAUGUAUCGUCUUGUUCGACAACGGGCACUGUUAAUUUCGUACUCCGCUGUUUUUGCCGUCGCUCUUUAUAAUCUGUAUUUGUUUAGUUAAGGUGAAAAUUGUCAGCUGCAAAGCUCACAGUGUGCUGUGAACCAU